GUAAUUGCUUUGCUUCCUUUACCUGCCUUUACCAAGAGAUGCCUGGCCAGAAGAGCGAGGAAUUACAGUUCCUGUGGAGGCUGCCCACCGAGUGAAGCUGCAGGCUGCCCAUCCCAUCGCAGUAGCUCCUUAGUUGUCACUUGCACUCACUCUAUCCUGCCACCCUUGUGAAGAAGGUGCCGGCUUCUCCUUUACCUUCCGCCAUGAUUGUAAGUUUCCUGUGGCUUCCCCAGCAGUACAGAACU
rnacentral:lncRNA from 1 species